UGGUUCUGGCAUCGAUGAAGAACGCAGCGAAAUGCGAUAAGUAAUGCGAAUUGCAGAAUUCAGUGAGUCAUCGAAUCUUUGAACGCACAUUGCGCCCUUUGGCAUUCCGAAGGGCAUGCCUGUUCGAGCGUCAUUUCCACCCCUCAAACCUAGCCGUUUGAUGUUGGGCAGUGCCAGACGGCAUGCCUAAAAGAGAGCGAUGGUCCUCCGAACCUCAAGCGCACAGAUGCCGCUAUGCGGGGGAGGCAGGCGCCAGUCUUCAGCGGAAUUUUGAACGUUGACCUCGGAUCAGGUAGGGAUACCCGCUGA
rnacentral:misc_RNA from 1 species